CCUACGGGAGGCAGCAGUGAGGAAUAUUGGUCAAUGGGCGGAAGCCUUAACCAGCCAAGUCGCGUGAGGGAUUAAGGCCCUGCGGGUCGUAAACCUCUUUUGCCGGGGAGCAGAGGUCCGGACGUGUCCGGGCUGGGAGAGUACUCGGAGAAAAAGCACCGGCAAACUCCGUGCCAGCAGCAGUGGUAAUACGGAGGAUGCGAGCGUUAUCCGGAUUUAUUGGGUUAAAAGGGUGCGCAGGGGGGCUUUUAAGCCAGUGGGGAAAUGUUGGGGCUCAAACGGAGAAUGCCAAUGGAAACUGGUAGUCGUGAGUACAGGUGAGGUAAGCGGAAGUCGGGGUGUAGAGGUGAAAUGCGUAGAUAUGACGAAGAACAACGGUUGCGAAGGCAGAUUA
rnacentral:rRNA from 1 species